rnacentral:lncRNA from 1 species
AAUAUUUUUGAAAGCCUUCACUAAAACAUUAUGGUUGGUUAUAUUAAUGACCUAAACAAUGUAAAUACAGCUAAUGACAGUAUGUUAUUCUCAUUUUGGGGUACAAGCAUGAAAUUACCCAUAAUCCUUUAGAUUCUGAAAUAAAUUGUGUUAAAUGAGAUUAAUUCAUACACAUACAUAGAUGCCAACCAUUACGAUUUUUCCGUAGUUUUUCCGAUUUUGCGAUAAAAACUACGCUAUUACGGUCAAAGUCGAAUAGUUACGGAUUCCCAAUCAUCGACGUUCAAUUUUGUAAAACGCGGAUUUUUAUCAUUACUUUUCCGUCCUGGUCCAGUAUUUAGGAAACGCCAAUGUAAUGCUUCCGGUUUCUCGGGAGUUAUCAACCUAUUGUUGGGUAACUAACUGACUUCCGAAGAGGCAAACUUGCAUUUUAUUAAGUAGCUUUCCCCCUUUCUCUACUUCUCCUUGACAAAACAAAAAUGUUUGAGUCGAGAACAUCUGAACAAUCAAUGAAUGGAAUACAUACUACAGACAACAUGUUAAAUGACAAAUUUUAGUGUACAUCACUUUGCAACCACUCGUCAGUAAUUUUUAUUGGUAAAUGCACGUUUAUGAAUGAUUACUGAAAACUUUUCAAAAAUACGGAAAAUUUGAUAGUUUGUUACUGAUUGUGUCAAAAGGGGGUUGGCAUCUAUGCACAUAUACGGUAAAGACAUAAGGGGGAAUGUAAAAAACUUUUAUGUUCUUUAUUUGGAUUUGUUUCUUGUAGAAAAUAUAUACAUAAUUCAGCUUUUGUUUUGUUCAUGAAGGGGGU